AGAGAAGCCCUCCGGUGGAUUUGUGCUUGGCGCCACAACAACAACGCCAGCCACUCUGCUGGAGCCGUUUUUCAGCUUCGUCAUGAUGGACCUGACAGGCAGACGGUCGGCACGGGGCAGAUUAGAUGAUGCAGGUAAAAAGCAGGUGAAAGACAUCAACUGUACUUUGUAAAGAGCGUGGACUCCAGGAUGACCAUAUAAGGAGGGUUUGGACCAGUCUUCAGGACCCAGUCUAGGUUGGCCUCUGACUCCAGCAAAUGAAGUACACCCACAUCUCCUGACAAAGAGGCUAAAAUCCAAAGGAGAAAAUUAAAUGGCACUGAUGACACAACAUGACAGCUAUUUAAUAAAAAGCCCCAGGAGGGUCUCUGUUACUGGAAAGGUUUUAUAUUCUGUAGCAGCAGAAACAGCUGCUGCUGCUGCUGCUGGUGAGGCUUUUGUAGUUUAAGAACAUGCAGGCACUCUAACAGCUUUAGAUCCUCAGAUAUUCAUCGCAGGAAUGCUUGUUUUAUUCUGUACUUUCAUCUUUAGAAACCCCUUCCUAACCAUGACAGCUGCAAAAAUGUGUUUUCAACAUAAACUGCCAAGAGCAGCCACACAGAAAACACUGGUUUUAAGCAUUUAAUACACCACACACUACAGUAAAUAGUUUUACUUACUAAAACUAAGGCAGUUUAGGAGAAAACUUUAGUUUUAAAAGAAUUUUUGGUUUCUUUUCUAUCAGACACAUACUCUGUCACACAUAACUGACAUUUUACAAUGGUAACACUUCCAUCUUUAUUUAAGUAUGUCACUCUCCAUUUAGUAACACCUCUGAUGAAGACGGAGGGGUUACUGUCAAAACAUGUCAGGUGUAUGUGACAGAUUGUCUGACAGAAAAGAAACCAAAACAAAUUAUUUAAGAACAUAGGCAUUAUGAACAUAUUUGGAUUACUUGGAAGUUUUUUUUAUACUCACACUGACAGCCUAUUUGAUGUGUAGCAUUAAGCAAUCGCACGCACGGGAUAGUGUAAUUGAGAUGGACGUAAAUCUUCUGUUCCACUGAAGUACAGCUGACACC